rnacentral:rRNA from 1 species
GAUGAACGCUGGCGGCGUGCUUAACACAUGCAAGUCGAACGAUGAAGCCCAGCUUGCUGGGUGGAUUAGUGGCGAACGGGUGAGUAACACGUGAGUAACCUGCCCUUAACUCUGGGAUAAGCCUGGGAAACUGGGUCUAAUACCGGAUAGGAGCGUCCACCGCAUGGUGGGUGUUGGAAAGAUUUAUCGGUUUUGGAUGGACUCGCGGCCUAUCAGCUUGUUGGUGAGGUAAUGGCUCACCAAGGCGACGACGGGUAGCCGGCCUGAGAGGGUGACCGGCCACACUGGGACUGAGACACGGCCCAGACUCCUACGGGAGGCAGCAGUGGGGAAUAUUGCACAAUGGGCGCAAGCCUGAUGCAGCGACGCCGCGUGAGGGAUGACGGCCUUCGGGUUGUAAACCUCUUUCAGUAGGGAAGAAGCGAAAGUGACGGUACCUGCAGAAGAAGCACCGGCUAACUACGUG